rnacentral:rRNA from 1 species
AACAUGUCUUUUUGUAUUUAAUUUAAAGUCUAAUCUGCCCACUGAUUUUUAAUUAAAGGGCUGCAGUAAUUUGACUGUACAAAGGUAGCAUAAUCAUUAGUCUUUUAAUUGAAGACUUGUAUGAAAGAUUUGAUGAGAUAUAAACUGUCUCUUUAUUACAAUUAAAAUUUAAUUUUUUAGUUAAAAAGCUAAAAUAUUUUUAAAAGACGAGAAGACCCUAUAGAGUUUUAUAGUUUUUAUUAUAAAAUAUUUAUAUAAAAUUUUAAUGUUAUAUUAUAAAAAUUAUUUUGUUGGGGAGAUAAAAAAAUUAAAUAAACUUUUUUAAAUAUUUUCAUGAAUAAUUGAGUAAUUGAUCCAUAUUUAUUGAUUAAAAGAAAAAAUUACCUUAGGGAUAACAGCGUAAUGUUUUUUUUUAGUACAAAUAAGAAAAAAAGUUUGCGACCUCGAUGUUGGAUUAAGAUAAAAUUUAAAUGUAAAAGUUUAAAAUUUUGAUCUGUUCGAUCAUUAAAAUCUUACA